GCCGAAGUGGCGGAAUUGGUAGACGCGCUGGACUCAAAAUCCAGUAGUGGCAACACUGUAAGGGUUCGAGUCCCUUCUUCGGUA
rnacentral:tRNA from 1 species